AUAACUUUGUUAAAAUUAAACAUAAAAUAGGAACCAGAUCAAAAAGACAUUUUAUGUAAUCUUAAUCUUCUUCCCUCUCUUCGCUUAGCCGGGGGUUGGUGACGGGACUUUCUCUAGGAACUUAAUGACUCUGAUGUCUUAAAGUACAUGCGGUGGAACCAGCUCUGUCUACACAACCGCGGGCUUCAGUGGCGUCUUCCUAACCCGGCUUGCCGGCCGGGGGCGUCCCGAGAGCCUCGGGGCCUUCCCUUCACCCCGCGGAAGUUGGACGGGCGGCGCUGGUAAGGCCUCCCGGGCUUAAAGUGCAACGGACACUGCAGAAAUCCAAACUGGUGGCAUUCGCAGUUUGGGGACGCUAGAGGAAGUAAUGAUUUCUGGUUUGUUAACCUCAGGUGACAAAAAUGCCGAGCCAGGCGGGAGCUGGACCUACAAUCUUCUGCUGCGUGGUCAGACACGUUAUCCAUUGCGCCACUGGUCUACCACGCAACUCCUCCACUGGCCGUUGAAUUACUGCGUGUUGAGAACACACUCGGCAACCACUUUAAAGGGCAACGCAGGCUGGGACUCAUCUGAGGCUAAGCUGCCCAUCGUUCGGGGAGACCCUCAGGGAAAACAAAACAAGAAACAGAGAACUUGGAAACGGACACUGAUUACUUUGAACGUUUGCUCAGCCGGGGAAGCAGGAACUGUUCGGCCCCGGGCGGGCUGCCUGGCUCCGGACAGAGGACAGAUCCGAGGUGGAUGGAUAAGGCAAAAGGUAGCCCUGGGGAGGUGAGUGGAUAAAGUCCCUGGACACAGGGGCUGCCCUUGGAGGAGGUUCUUAUGUCAUUGUCCUCCAGUGGAAGUAACUGUGCAGAAUUAACUAGAGACCAGCGAUGAGAGAGAAUUAAUUGGAUAAAAAUUUUAUCUAGGGCAGUCCUUGAGCGUAAUUUUGUUAAGCAAAGACAAGACAAAAACAAAACGAGUAAAACCCAAACACACAUCCACACACUCACUGAAAGAUUCAAAGAUAAAACAGAACACAAAGACUUUUCUGGUAAUAAAAUCUCCCUAUCCUAAUUUUCUAGAAAAAAAGCUGUUGAAGCCACCCCGCAGUUCUUACAAGACAAAACACAAAUCUUCCACACAAAAGCAGAAAUACAGUAUUAUCCUUUGUGAGGAGUGCAGCAAAUAAAUGAUAUUUCUUCAGGGUCCUAGGCAACCUGUAUACUUUUGUUACCAGUGUAUACAACAUGCUAUGGUUUAUUGCUGUCUUUCA